rnacentral:rRNA from 1 species
GAUGAACGCUGGCGGCGCGCCUAACACAUGCAAGUCGAACGAUUAAAGCACCUUCGGGUGUGUAUAAAGUGGCGAACGGCUGAGUAACACGUGGGCAACCUGCCCCUCUCAUUGGGAUAGCCACGGGAAACCGUGGAUAAUACCGAAUACUUCGGGACUUCCGCAUGGAAGACUCGAGAAAGCUCCGGCGGAGAGGGAUGGGCCCGCGGCCUGUUAGCUUGUUGGUGGGGUAAUGGCCUACCAAGGCAAUGAUGGGUAGCUGGGUUGAGAGACCGACCAGCCAGAUGGGGACUGAGACACGGCCCAGACUCCUACGGGAGGCAGCAGUGGGGAAUCUUGCACAAUGGGCGAAAGCCGGAUGCAGCGACGCCGCGUGCGGGAUGAAGGCCUUCGGGUUGUAAACCGCUUUCAGCAGGGACGAGGCGAAAGUGACGGUACCUGCAGAAGAAGCCCCGGCUAACUACGUG